UAGUGAGUGGCGGAACGGGUGAGUAACACGUGAGUAACCUGCCCUCUUCUUUGGGAUAACGCCCGGAAACGGGUGCUAAUACUGGAUAUUCACUGGCCUUCGCAUGGGGGUUGGUGGAAAGGUUUGUUCUGGUGGGGGAUGGGCUCGCGGCCUAUCAGCUUGUUGGUGGGGUGAUGGCCUACCAAGGCUUUGACGGGUAGCCGGCCUGAGAGGGUGACCGGUCACAUUGGGACUGAGAUACGGCCCAG
rnacentral:rRNA from 1 species